AAAAGCUCUUUAGAACAAAAAGGAAAUAUUUUGAAAAUAGACGAUGGAUUUGAAGCAACAAAAUAGGCUCCCGGUGUAGUUGCUACGAAAAAAACAGCGGAUUCGUACGGAAUGUAGUUUUAUCCACAUUCAGUAUUUGUAGUUGCUAGUUUUCCAAAUUGGAGAAGGACACAUUGAAAUAUAUGUUUAUUUUGUUCAAUCUGUUGACGAGAAUUCGACAUCCUCUGGGCUACGGUCAACAAAGAACCAAUCAGAAGACGUCCUUUUGAGUUUGCCCGGCGCUGGUAUCACCGAGGAACCAAUCACUAGCUGUAAUUCAGAGGAUAUUACUAACUUUCGCAUUGGCAACUGCGUAAAAUUGGGACUACUCCGGGAAAUAUUUCGAUAAUUGGUAUCCAAGAUGGCUGGUGAAAGUUGUGGCAAGUGCAUGGAUCGCGUGGAUAGGCGGUUUCUUCUCCCAAGGGGAAUUCUCAAGAUCUUAGAAAUUGUGAGUAUCGUUGUAAAGUUCAAAAUACUCUAACCGCGCUUACAACAGGUCAGCCAGUGUUGAUCAAAUGUGACAUAGUUGUCGUAAUUAUGUACACAUCUGCUGAACGUGCUCUCUUACUGAAUAUAUCUCAAUAUCCUCCGAAGUUGGGUCUCAUCAGGAAACAUACACUCUUAGUAGUGAUAGGUCUAGAUAUUGUCCACCAAUGCUUACGUCGCUUUUGUUUACGUUUUUAGUUUCUCAACAUCGGCGCCAUAAUCCUGGUAGCCACUGGACGUACCGACGUCUAUCUCAAGCAUCUCCUGCGGAGAUGGGUCCCCUGGGGAAUCAUCGACAACGGCUACUUCCACGGCCUCAAUUUCGCUCUGGCCACUGCCUGUAUCUGGCUCGUCGUAACCAUCAUACUGUUUUUCGUCUUCCUGUUCCGGGGCUACAGGAAGUGCUGCGGGUUUGCAAAUUGGAUCAACGUGGAUUGCGCAUGCAGCAUCAUAGCCUGCUUGAUGAAUGUCGUAUCCUUCGUCCUGCUGUGCAUUUACUGUGGUCAUUGGCCUCUGGAGCACACCAUCUGGAACGAACGCCUCAUAGCGGCAGCGGUGUUCGCCGUUUUGACGGCCAUCUUGUAUCUCGCGGACUGCAUUGUUGCCAUAACAACGCCAAAUCCAGACCGAGGCAAAGGAGGCAACAACAACGCCACCUUUACUUGAAAUUAGUCAUGGACUGUUUUCCUGUGUGAAAGUGAUAUGUCAGAGUCACUGUCAAUAUCAUGAAGGUUAUCAGAUUGAAAACUAUGGUAUUCACUGUAAAUAGAGUACAAAAAGAGUAAAUAGAGUACUUUAUAGAGUACAAAAAGCUGACAUUUAUUUGAAAUUUCCAAUACACUAUUAUGACUCUGAGG